rnacentral:rRNA from 1 species
UACGAACGGUCCAAACGUUUAUUCGGAAUCACUGGGCUUAAAGCGUCCGUAGGCGGCUCGGAAAGUAGGGUGUGAAAUCCCACGGCUCAACCGUGGAAUUGCGCUCUAAACUAUCGAGCUAGAGGGAGAUAGAGGUGAGCGGAACUGAUGGUGGAGCGGUGAAAUGCGUUGAUAUCAUCAGGAACACCGGAGGCGAAGGCGGCUCACUGGACCGGAACUGACGCUGAGGCGCGAAAGCCAGGGGAGCAAACGGG